rnacentral:rRNA from 1 species
GACAGAGGUGCCGAGCGUUAGGCGGAAUCACUGGGCUUAAAGCGUGUGUAGGCGGAUCGGUAAGUACCUUGUGAAAUCCCACAGCUUAACUGUGGAACUGCUUGGUAUACUGCCGGUCUUGAGCCAGCUAGGGGCUACCGGAACAAAUGGUGGAGCGGUGAAAUGCGUAGAUAUCAUUUGGAACGCCAAUGGUGAAAACAGGUAGCUGGGGCUGUGCUGACGCUGAGACACGAAAGCCAGGGGAGCAAACGGG